rnacentral:rRNA from 1 species
GAUGAACGCUGGCGGCGUGCCUAAUACAUGCAAGUCGAGCGAACGGACGAGAAGCUUGCUUUUCUGAUGUUAGCGGCGGACGGGUGAGUAACACGUGGAUAACCUACCUAUAAGACUGGGAUAACUUCGGGAAACCGGAGCUAAUACCGGAUAAUAUUUUGAACCGCAUGGUUCAAAAGUGAAAGACGGUCUUGCUGUCACUUAUAGAUGGAUCCGCGCUGCAUUAGCUAGUUGGUAAGGUAACGGCUUACCAAGGCAACGAUGCAUAGCCGACCUGAGAGGGUGAUCGGCCACACUGGAGCUGAGACACGGUCCAGACUCCUACGGGAGGCAGCAGUAGGGAAUCUUCCGCAAUGGGCGAAAGCCUGACGGAGCAACGCCGCGUGAGUGAUGAAGGUCUUCGGAUCGUAAAACUCUGUUAUUAGGGAAGAACAUAUGUGUAAGUAACUGUGCACAUCUUGACGGUACCUAAUCAGAAAGCCACGGCUAACUACGU